rnacentral:rRNA from 1 species
UACGUAGGGGGCUAGCGUUGCUCGGAAUUACUGGGCGUAAAGGGCGCGUAGGCGGGUCGUUAAGUUGGGGGUGAAAGCCCAGGGCUCAACCCUGGAAUUGCCUUCAAUACUGGCGACCUUGAGUAUGGCAGAGGUGUGUGGAACUCCGAGUGUAGAGGUGAAAUUCGUAGAUAUUCGCAAGAACACCAGUGGCGAAGGCGGCUCACUGGCCCGAUCCUGACGCUGAGGCACGAAAGCGUGGGGAGCGAACAGG